rnacentral:lncRNA from 1 species
AGGGGGCUGACCUCACCUCAUCAAGACACAGGUUUACUUGUUAGUUUUGUGGGAGGCUUUGCACUGUGGGAAGCAAAGGGCUGAUGGAGAAACACUGGAACCAUGAGUCAGAAUUCAGGGAACCCAAUCAAAUCUUUGAAUUCCUCAUGUUCCUAUUCACCAUUUAUCAGAGAUGGAAACUGACUCCCAGGAAGUCCACUCACCUUCCAAAAGUCACGUAGCUAUGAAGUGGUGAGGCUAGGCUGACCCACAGAGCCAAGCUCUCAUCCACAAACAACUACUUCCUUUGAAGGCAAGCCUUUAAAGGAUUUUGUAAAGGAGCCCCUGAAACUCCGCCCCUUGUUUUCUCUGCCUCUCUUUUCCUACCAAUAUUCUUUAAUCUUGCUUUCUAAAAAUAGUUUUGAGAGCUUUACCUACAAAAUUCAUUUUUUGGGGGAAAGAAAUGAUUAGGUAUUUUGUCAAACAAGCAAACUCAUACGCCUUUGAAUGAGGUAAAGGAAAGCAAUUUACUUCAAAAAGACUUAGCUACACACCAUAAACAAUAAUUUGAAAAAAAGAACAAUAGGGAAAUUCUUAGAUGAAUAUACAGCUCUCAAGUGGAACACUUUCUAGUAUGGAAUUAUAUGAGCAUGACAUAGGUGAGUUAUGGGUCAUCUCCUAGAUUCCCCUGCCUGUAUCUUUGGUUCUAGUUGGAAGGUCUCCUCCAGAUUCAUUCACCUCUAUUCUUUUUCUGCAUGUGUAUAGGUUUUAGCAUGACCUCACUAACAUGGCACUGGGGACUUAAUAAAUUAAGCUACUGCUUCUAUUUAUUUAUCAUUCAUGAUAUUGCAUGCCUAGGUCUUAUCAGUUGUUAAAAUAAAAACAAUCUCUUACAAUGGUCUGAAGGCUCACAGUCUGCAAAGCACUUUCUGCCUAUCUGAUUUCACUCAAUCCUCACAGUGGCCUUCUGACUUAGACAGGAUGGAUAGCAUCUCCUUUUUAUGGCUAAGUAGCUUGAACUGCAAGCUGUUUUGCAGCUCGCUAGAGCAGGAGAGCUGGAAUCUGUCCCAAGUCACUUGAUUCUCUGCUCCCUGUUCUUCACCUUUGUCAGCAUGGCUUCUCCAUAGGGUCAUUCCACAGGCACUGUACACUUCUCUCUGGGACUGUAUCCUGAGCCCUGCGAGUCCACAUGGGAAUGUGCUCUGUAGUAGCAUUCUAGUAAUUGCUACCACAGCAGCAGCCCUGAUGGUGUAAUGAUUUGUACCUCAGUUCUCUUCUCCAGCUCCAGCCCAAGUCUAUGUCUAAAUGGCGAUUUGUUUAAAUCUAGACCUCUAGUGCAGUCAGUCACUGCCUUGCCAUUCUGCCCCCACCUUUUUCAACUUGUUAAUUUGCCUCCUCACCAGAAUCACCAAUUGCCAACAACACAUCCAAGCUCUGCUGUAAUUAAGUAUUGAUUUCAUGUAAUGCGUAUGUACAGAGGAAGCUCAUUCCAUUUGUAGGCUGCUGUUAUCUGUCGGUAAAACAAAAUGUGCGAUUCUAAGUGGAUAUUGUAUGGCUAUGGCGAAGUGAAACCUCGAAUCCUUCUAACCGUAGUGACAUUAUGGUACGCCAUUCAAGAGUGGAUUGUUUUUCUUAACGUGACCUAUGUUGCUCUUGGCCUGUUUUUUUGUCCAGAAAUGGCUGUGCAGAUUCUUCAUUGCAACUCCUUCUUAGUUCCAAUUUGGUCCUACUGGAAAGGAGACCAGCAAAGUCCACUUACUCUGGUGUAACAUGGCUGUAACUUCAAAUAAACGGAGCUCCAGGGAUUAUUUGUUUUCUGCUUUUGCUGCAGCAGUCAUACCUCUUGGCAUUUUUUUUGGGGGGGAGGGGUAACCUUACUAUUCUCAGGAGAAAAAUAUGGGAAAUUUUGGAUGGAAAUGAAGUUCACGUAAUUAACAUCUUCAGGAAAUUCUGGUGGGUUUUGAGCCCCCCCAUUACAUUUAUGGGGGCAUUCACAGAUCCCAGGUGGAGUUGAGAUCAUUGCACUUUGUAGAUUCGAUGAGGAGGUAUAGUGGGAGGAGAAUGCCUUGUGCCCACUGCAGGAAUGAGAGCCUGAAGAGCUGGGGUCUGAGUCUGUUUUCAUUGUUUGAUUUCUCUUUCCACUUGACAGCUUCAUCUCCACUGAGCCACCAGCUGUCUUGAUUAGGAAUUUUUUCCCAACAGUGGAAUGGAAGUUUCUAAAGAUAUGAGCUAUUUGUGUGGGUAUCUUUGCCUGUUUGGAGUUUUCUAUCAUGAAGUGGAAGGUUGGAUGGAAUAGCUUACGUAGGUGGUUUUUUUUCUCCCUUUGUUCAAAAUAUUGGCCUAGAGUAUCAGAGAUGAACCAUUAAACACCUCUGUUUCUAGCACUGGUCCUGCCUCCUUUGACACAGACGUUUUAGCUCUCGCCUACUGCUACCUAAAGUUACUUCCAUUAGUGUUUCUUUCCUGCUGCUAUAUAAAGCAAAUAUAAACAGCAUUGUAGACAGACUGGUGUUAUGGGGGAAAGUUUCCAAGCCUGUGCACCACUGUGGGUUAUGUCUUUGAAGCUCACACUGAGAGCCUCAAACUCCAUUUUUAGUGUCACAGCCCAUUGGCCUGGGCGAGUUACGAGUACUGAGCUAGGGAAUGCAUAUAAUUGCCAGUCACACUCUAGAGGUGUCUCAACUGCAUCUUAAAUACGUCACUCAGAAAUCUGAUGAAUGAACCAGCAACAAAAGUGAAAAAUACAAUAAUUUUCCUUGAAUGUCCUCCUCACGUACAUUUCAGCAUUCAGGGAACACCUUGACAAUAAUAUUGCACAGAUCAUGAAUGCUUUUUUUGGUAAUUUUAGGUGGGGAAUGGAGUUUUGGGCUUUGGGGUCAGAGGGAUCUGGGUUCUGAUUUCUCGGCUUUUUGAUACUGAACAAAUAACAUACUCAUCCCCUCAGGGCUUCAGUCUUCUCAUCUAAAUAAUGUAGGCAUGACAAGGAUCUGGCAGGUCAUGAAGACUGAGUAAGCAAUAUUGUAAAGUCUGCUAGCUCAGUGCUGGACACAUAGUAAACUGAGACAUCCCACUGUCCGUCACACUGCCUACUCCAUUGGGCAAAUGUCAUUCUGAGUUUACAGCUCUGACUAUCGAGCUUUUCCCGUGUUUAGUUGUAUUUCUUUUAUAUAGCCAUGUCAACUGUCGACAGAGUGUUUUAAGGCCCAGACCACCCCAGGAGUAUUAGAAAAUAUCCUGAGUGAUAGUUCAGAAGAGCCUAUCCAGAGAUGAGUGAUGAAGCUGGUGGCAAUUUCAUGGUAUGCUUAUGAAUCAUCUGAGCAUACCCUAAAUGUGGGCAGAUUCUAGGGCCUCAGUCCAUAGAAUCUGACUCAGUAGGUUUGAAAGAGGGGCCCCUGCAGUUUCCAUGAUUAAUGUACUCUUCAGAUGAUGAUAAUUGCCGAGACCAGCUCAGCAGGUGAGGACUGAAGAACGGAUGCUAUGGAACUUAAGAAAAAGUUAACAUAAAAUAAGACACAGAGACAUUUAUCUUAAUUAAAGGUGGGUACCGGGGGACUCAAGGUCUCAGGGACCAAGAGCACCACCUCAAGAAACUACACUACUCUUAUUGUGCUCUUUAGGAUUACAUCAAGUGAGGAGGCGGCUGUAGGUGCAGGAUUUUUUUUUUUUUAAAGUCACAUGGCUGGUAGCUGGUUAAGCUUUUACUCUGAGCUUUAGGCAUUAAACAGCCAUUAACAAUGAGGAAGCCUGGUGUCAGCUGCCUAUGCACAGCAUCUAGAAAAUCAUCAUUGUGCUUCCACAUUGUGCCUAUCUACAGCAACCCAGGGUGCCUAGGUUUGCACCUCAUUCUCCUUGCUGAUGCAUAUCCUGCUAACGACCCCUCAUAAACUCCCUGGGGCCUUGAGGCUCCUCUUCCUCUUAUUUUAACCAGAUGUAUCACGCUGUGCAAACAGCAUGCCUAUCUGCAUAGGUCCAGCAACACAUUAUGUCCUCAUUCAGCUGACCACGUGAAUAACUUAUGCCUUUUGGUCUUUGUUCUUAAGCCUAAGUUAUUUACCAGCACUACGACUGUUUUUCAAGCAGGAAUAUGGGGUAAAGGUAAAGCAGGACAAGAUGGAGUUUUCAUCAUAGAAAAUAGAAGCAGAGAAGCUAAGAAAAGAUUGUAGAAACAUGUCUUCCGACAGAUAAUGUUUGGAACAUGCUUCAAGAAAUGCUUCUGCAAACACAUCAACAGAAGUAUUGCUGGACUUCUGAGAUUGUUGACUGGCAAAGGACCACUCAUGUGGGACAAGACAGCAGCCUUCUAAUUGCCUAAUAUGUAUUAUGCACAUGAUGUGAUUUGUUCUGGAGUCUCAAGAGUCACAAUAGAACCUAAUGAGUAGAAAUUCCAGGGAAGAAAGCUUUGGCUUAAUAUAGGUAUUUUCCUAAAACUAAAACUAUCUACAGGUGGGAUAUAUUGCUUCCUGAGGUUGUGAGCCCUCCAGCUCAGGAGGAAUUCACAUUUGUCUAUCUGAGUGGCCUCUGGGAAUUUUACAUAGGAAAACUUAGCUCAUGCUCUUAUUCCCUAUAGUACUUAAUUAGUUUUUUUGUAAUUGUUGACCUAUGGGUCUAGUGUAUUCAGCUCUCACAGGUGUUUGUUAACCAUCUACCUUGUGCCUGAUUCUGUGAAAAUGAAGCCCCAAAGUGCUGCAUGCAUCCAGGCAAAGGUGUGAUCUUAUCAGAAGCUAUUGUCAGAGAAGGAGAAAGAGCUCACUUCCAUUCCUAUAUUGCAGAAGGUAAGAGGCAUCUGGCAAUGAGAAGAGAUGAGGCGUUAUCCACUGGGGGCAGGGAGAAGGGGUAGAUUAGUGUCAUUUUGAGAAGCAAGGUUCUCUCACACUGGGUUUUAACAGAUUAAUUAAGCAAAGCUUUCAUUUUCUUCCAAGUGAAUAUCCAUUUUUCUAUCUUUCUCUUCAGAGCUAUGAAAUUCCAUUUGUCUCUUGGAGAUAAAAUGAUUUGUUAAACAAUUGUUUUUCUUGGCUCCACAUGGAUUUUUCCCUCUCCCUUUAAAAGUAUGGUCAUCAGUAAUGUGUAUGAGAUGUAUGCCCCCCUUUUUUUUCAGAAACUGCUCAAUGUCCCCACACUUAUGCUUCUCCAAGGGGAGGAAACGAUGAUCAUCCAUGGCAAGUGGCAGUUGUGGUGAAGCAAAGCUGAGAGCCGGCUUCACACUCAGGAGAGAACCUGCCCCUCCUUCUUGGGAAAGAUAUUCCCAAUUUAUUUUUCUAUAGACUUUGCAGACUUGUUUGAAUCAAGCAGGAGACAUUGAAUAAUUCCUCUCCUCCUUGGAUGUCAAAAUAAUAGCAUCAUAUUUUAGAGUUGAGGCUCAGUUUGUUUUAAAACUAGAAGCCAUCUAUUAACACCAAGAUGGCAUGAGAUGUUUUUAGAUUGGGUCAUCCAGGUGACAUUUUGUUAAAAGAGAACAUGGGCUCAUUAUUAGAGCUAAGAGGUUUAUAAUUAGCUGACCUUAGAAACCUUGUUAAACCACAUGUGCUGGUUCAUGGGAAGUGAUGACUCAACUUGAUCUUUCUUUGCUGUACCUCCUCUCCUCUCUGCACUUCCUUAAGAGAUGUUAUUUAUUUGGUAUUUAAAAUUUUUUCUUCUUCUUCAGAGUUUCUUAAAAUCCUAGUGCAGAAUGAGAGUGUCUAAAAGUUUUAGUUUUGGAAGUUGCCAUCAGCAGUGGAUUUUGCUGAAUAGUACUAUCUGUGUUUAAUAAUAAGGUUUUCUUUUUUGUAAACUAUUUCUUGUGAAACUAUUCUCUGUGUUGCUGAGGUUACAGAAAAAUGUCAUUUUUCUGUCACUAUUGGUGUUCUUCAGACCCUCACUUUAAAAUGGAUGUGCUUUUGGAAACCUAGGUGGUUAUCCACAUAGAAAAACACCUUAUCCUGGGCCCCGUUGGGUGACUUGGACAAAGCAAUGCAAUUUAGAUGGGGGAAAUGGUAUGUAUUACAUUUUGUAAGAGCCAGCUUCCAAUAAUAACCAUCUGACCCUUAUGAUCCUAUGUUUUCAAUUUUCCUUUUAAAGAAUGCAACAAGCAAUGCUGCCAAAGCAUAUUUUUCUGUCCAGAGUUCACUGAUUUGUGAGUUGCUGGGCAGAUUUUCCAUCUUCAGUGUUAGAAGACAGGAACUUCAAACAUUUUUCUCUUAAAGUAACUUCUCAUAUAACCGUUUCAUGGCACAUGCUAAACUCUGGGUUUGUAUUUGAAAAGAAAACCCCUAUAUUUGAAUACUGCGAAAAAGAGGCAUGAUUUUAACCUUGGUUUUAAGUUUAUGUCUUUGUUUAGCCUUUUUGAUUUGGAUAGAAGCUCAGUGUCUGCUAAUUAGAAGAAUAAAAAUAGCAGCCCAUUGCUAAUGCCAAAAUUCAUUUAUUGAGUGCUUACCUUGUGUAUAUUCCUUUGCUAGGCUUCAUUCUGGGACAUCUUAUACAACAUAUCUUCUUUAAAGCCUGACUAAUAAAGUAGUAGCUUGGGAAUCCCUGGUGGGCAGUAGUUGUGAUAUUCAGUAUAACUUCCCCAACUGUCCUGCAUGGCAUCAGACUGAGGACGUCUACAUGAGGAGAUAAGUCAUUAAAAAAAAAUCAUUUCUGGGAGUUCGUGUUGUGUCUCAGUGGGUUACAAACCCAACUAGUAUCCAUGGGCAUAUGAGUUUGAUCCUUGGCCUCGUUUAGUGGGUUAAGGAUCUGGAGUUGCCAUGAACUGUGAUAUAGGUCUCAGCUACAGCUCCAAUUUGACCCCUAGCCUGGGAACUUCCACAUGCUGUGGGUAUGGCCCUAAAAAAAAAAAAAAA